UGAGGAAUAUUGGUCAAUGGACGAGAGUCUGAACCAGCCAAGUCGCGUGAGGGAAGACUGCCCUAUGGGUUGUAAACCUCUUUUAUAAGGGAAGAAUAAGUUCUACGUGUAGAAUGAUGCCUGUACCUUAUGAAUAAGCAUCGGCUAACUCCGUGCCAGCAGCCGCGGUAAUACGGAGGAUGCGAGCGUUAUCCGGAUUUAUUGGGUUUAAAGGGUGCGUAGGCGGUUUAUUAAGUUAGUGGUUAAAUAUUUGAGCUAAACUCAAUUGUGCCAUUAAUACUGGUAAACUGGAGUACAGACGAGGUAGGCGGAAUAAGUUAAGUAGCGGUGAAAUGCAUAGAUAUAACUUAGAACUCCGAUAGCGAAGGCAGCUUACCAGACUGUAACUGACGCUGAUGCACGAGAGCGUGGGUAGCGAACAGGAUUAGAUACCCUGGUAGUCCACGCCGUAAACGAUGCUCACUGGUUCUGUGCGAUAUAUUGUACGGGAUUAAGCGAAAGUAUUAAGUGAGCCACCUGGGGAGUACGUCGGCAACGAUGAAACUCAAAGGAAUUGACGGGGGCCCGCACAAGCGGAGGAACAUGUGGUUUAAUUCGAUGAUACGCGAGGAACCUUACCUGGGUUUAAAUGGGAAAUGUCGUAUUUGGAAACAGAUAUUCUCUUCGGAGCGUUUUUCAAGGUGCUGCAUGGUUGUCGUCAGCUCGUGCCGUGAGGUGUCGGGUUAAGUCCCAUAACGAGCGCAACCCUUACCGUUAGUUGCUAGCAUGUAAUGAUGAGCACUCUAACGGGACUGCCACCGUAAGGUGAGAGGAAGGCGGGGAUGACGUCAAAUCAGCACGGCCCUUACACCCAGGGCUACACACGUGUUACAAUGGCCGGUACAGAGGGCCGCUACCAGGUGACUGGAUGCCAAUCUCAAAAGCCGGUCGUAGUUCGGAUUGGAGUCUGUAACCCGACUCCAUGAAGUUGGAUUCGCUAGUAAUCGCGCAUCAGCCAUGG
rnacentral:rRNA from 1 species